UACGUAGGUGGCAAGCGUUACUCGGAAUCACUAGGCGUAAAGCGCAGGUAGGCGGCUCGGUAAGUCUCUUGUGAAAGCUCCCGGCUUAACUGGGAGAGGCCAAGGGAAACUGUCGGGCUAGAGUGUGGCAGAGGAAGCUGGAAUUCCCGGUGUAGCGGUGAAAUGCGUAGAUAUCGGGAGGAACAUCAGUGGCGAAGGCGGCUACCUGGCCCAAUACUGACACUCAGGUGCGACAGCGUGGGGAGCAAACAGG
rnacentral:rRNA from 1 species